AUUUAUUUUACAACCCACUAAUGGAUUACCCUACAGUUUGAAAAACAUUGCGUUAGACCAGUUUGACUGUUGUCAAGAACCAAAAAAGGAAAAAUGAGGAAGCUGUGAGUACCAGUGGAAGGAACGAGCCAGGAAGAGGGACUGGAACCAUCUCAGAAGCCAUGCCCCUCAGGCUGGAACUUGCCCUGUCUCCUCGCAGAUGAGCUACCUGUAAGAAGAAUCAAGAUAAAGAA
rnacentral:lncRNA from 10 species